AUUGAACGCUGGCGGCAGGCCUAACACAUGCAAGUCGGGCGAGUGGCGGACGGGUGAGUAAUGUAUGGGGAUCUGCCUGAUGGCGGGGGAUCACUACUUGAAACGGUAGCUAAUUCCGCCUUCCAUCUGUUGAACCUAUCUGGGAUUAGCUAGUGGGUGAGGUAACGGCUUACCUAGGCGACGAACCCUAGCUGGUCUGAGAGGAUGAUCAGCCACACGGGGACGGAGACACGGCCCAGACUCCUACGGGAGGCAGAAGUGGGGAAGAUUGCACAAUGGGCGCAAGCCGGAUGCAGCAAUGCGGCGUGUAUGAAGAAGGCCUUCGGGUUGUAAAGUACUUUCAGUCGGGAGGCGUUACCGACAGAAGAAGCACCGGCUAACUCCGUGCCAGCCGCCGCGGUAAUAC
rnacentral:rRNA from 1 species